GUUUUGACUCAAUGCUAAAUUGCUAACAUCAUUUUACCAUAGGCUUGGCAGGCUAGAUCUGAAAUAAAAAGAAAUUAGAUUUUAGCAUUGUUUUAGCAUUAUUAGUUGUUAAAUAAAAAGAAAGAAGGAAAGAUCUCAAAUAUGUGGGCACUUUUGCUAUUUUCUUGCUGUUGGAAUUGUUGGCUGUUGCUAUUGCUCUUUACAGUGUCAGACAUGUAUUUAUCACAGUAUGCUGGUAAAUAAAGACAUUUAUU
rnacentral:misc_RNA from 1 species